UUAGCAGAGAUGCUUUGGUGCCUUCGGGAACUCUGAGACAGGUGCUGCAUGGCUGUCGUCAGCUCGUGUUGUGAAAUGUUGGGUUAAGUCCCGCAACGAGCGCAACCCUUAUCCUUUGUUGCCAGCGGUCCGGCCGGGAACUCAAAGGAGACUGCCAGUGAUAAACUGGAGGAAGGUGGGGAUGACGUCAAGUCAUCAUGGCCCUUACGAGUAGGGCUACACACGUGCUACAAUGGCGCAUACAAAGAGAAGCGACCUCGCGAGAGCAAGCGGACCUCAUAAAGUGCGUCGUAGUCCGGAUUGGAGUCUGCAACUCGACUCCAUGAAGUCGGAAUCGCUAGUAAUCGUAGAUCAGAAUGCUACGGUGAAUACGUUCCCGGGUCUUGUACACACCG
rnacentral:rRNA from 1 species